GCCUUGAACCUGGACUGCCUUCUGUUUGAAGACUGGUUGAUCUUCAGUCCACCUUUACUCCGAGGGUCCAGUCCCACUCUUGGCAGACUCUGGACUCCAACAUCUGUUUGCAUAGCCCCAUGAAGCCAUCCAAAGCCCAUGUGAGCCACUAGGAUCAAAAGGCUGCUGACUCUUUACCACAUCACUACUGCCACAGUUAGGAAGCCACCAAGACAAGGAAGGAAUCCAUCCAUAAUCAGAAACCUACCACCCUCAGAAGCCACAUCCGCUGUUGCCUGCUCCAGACCCCACUGUGCCUGCGAAGAUUUUCAGCUUCAAAGUGGAUGCCACGUGCCCUGCUCUCAGCACCUCAGAGCCAGCGACCAGAGCCCAAGACCUCAGCUAAUGCUGCCCAGAAACCUGAAUAUCUCCCCUGCUGGGCUUGGCAGCAAGAGCAGCAGAUGCCUGGUCCCUGCUGCAAUUCCCCCACAUUAGAGUGACUGAAUCUGCACCACAUCCUGACUCUGGUUGUAAAGGAGUCUGGGAAAUGUAGUUUUUAGCUUUCCUGUUUCUGUAGUAUAGGAAGGCACAGCAGAAAGCAGAUGCUACCUGAGAGAAACAGAAGAUAAAACUACCACCAGGACGCACCAGCAGCAUGACACAGGGCCAGUGACUUCGGCUGCUAAAAUCAAGACGUACACCAGAGGGCGCUGCAGUUAAAGAGCGAGGCAGAGACUGUUGGAUGGGCGGCAGGCCAGAGCCAGCUGGGACCACAGGAGGGACCACAGGAGGAAGCUGGUGUGAGUGCUGUGAGGCCCUCAGAUUUAAGUGAAUGGUUUGGAAACCUCCGGGGAGAAGUCUACUUCCUGUUGCUACUUUUCUUCUAAAUGAAUACAGUGUAAAUAUCUGGCCAGCACAGCAGCAGCAGCUCAACCACAUGCUUUGAGAACUAAGCCAAAAAAA
rnacentral:lncRNA from 1 species